AUGGGAGGGCACGCCUACCCGAAUCUCCUCCCUUUCCCCACGACCGGACCCUGCACAGGCGGCAUCGCCACCGGCACGGUCAGUUCGUCGUCAUGCCGCUACUCCGUCCACUGCCGCCGCACCAGUAAGGUCGUCGUCGGGAGGAGAAGCGCGGCGGCGAGUGUCUCCUGCUCCGCCGCAUCCGCGCAGGCGCCGCCGUCGCAGAGCACAAUCAAGGUGGUCAUCGUCGGCGCGACCAAGAAGAUGGGGAGGGCGGCGGUCACGGCGGUGAGCAGGGCGAGGGGGAUGGUGCUCGCGGGCGCCACUGACACCCAGUGCAUCGGGAUGGACGCAGGACAGAUAAGUGGCAUGGAAGAAGCUCUCGAGAUCCCCGUGCUCAAUGAUCUCACCAUGCAUGGUCCUGGGCUCCAUAGCACAGGUAUUAACUUGAGUCUCCAUUCGUGGAAUGUUGAUUCAUCUCGUGCUUCCUUUUCGGGUGAGCGCUUCGCUGGUGUGGUUGUCGAUUUCAGUGAACCUUCAUCCGUCUACGACAAUGAAGCAGGUAACGUACUAUGA
rnacentral:rRNA from 1 species